UACGUAGGGUCCGAGCGUUGUCCGGAAUUACUGGGCGUAAAGAGCUCGUAGGUGGUUUGUCGCGUUGUUCGUGAAAACUCACAGCUUAACUGUGGGCGUGCGGGCGAUACGGGCAGACUAGAGUACUGCAGGGGAGACUGGAAUUCCUGGUGUAGCGGUGAAAUGCGCAGAUAUCAGGAGGAACACCGAUGGCGAAGGCGGCCUCUGGACAAUGACUGACGCUAAAACACGAAAGCGUGGGGAGCAAACAGG
rnacentral:rRNA from 1 species